GGGUUUCCGUCGUGAACGUGACUGACGGAAUGCGUCUUUGGUUACAGGACCGGACAAACCAUGUUACCAUGAAAGCUACACAGAGCUGCGACUGUCCGGAGACGAUCUGCAAGCCUUAUCAUAGCAGAUGUUUUCCCCGUCCCUAGGAAGUACCUACGACCUCUGCCGAUGGCCUCCGACCAGUCACGGAAAUUCAUGAUGCCGGUGCGUUUCCGUCGGUGACUCCCACGGGCCGCACUUAUGUGUACAACGACCAGCGCACAGGUCACGGAGUACGAAAUGGGCGCGGUGACGGGAAUGCAAUGCUGCCGGAUACGCAGUGAUAGGAGAGAACCUGUCACUAGCUCAACGGCAACAGGACGCUCCCAGACACUGGCGAGAGUCAUCUGGGACGCGCCGACGCACUGCAGUUUCAUCGUGGUGUCUCCGGCUGGACGUCAUAGGCAGGUCCCGUGACCCGUGAUAGACACGGUGUUGAUAAGGGUGUUGGAAUGGGACGGGUACGAUCACGACGGGGUGUGGAUUAGGGUGUGUCGAUAGUCGCAGAUUCGCGUUAGACAAAGAUAUAAAUUGGCGCGAGCAUGCCAAAACACUAGCCCUGCAGUUGGUUU